rnacentral:piRNA from 1 species
UCAAAUGUUGGUGACAAAAACAGUCACAUA